rnacentral:snoRNA from 1 species
AUGGCGAUGAUGAUUGGCGCAGGGGUACGGACCUCAGCUAGAUCAUGGGAGCUGAGUGUGAACUUGGCUGUUUUUCAGGGUGGCUGGCAUGUGGCCGGCUUCCUGGAAACGCGUUCACAUGAGAACUUCGCCUACAGCUGAGCCAU